rnacentral:lncRNA from 1 species
GUGGGUGAAAUCUAUCAAGGCAUAGACUAGAGAUAAACUUGCAAGAACAAGAUUACUAAUGAGAAACUCGUCACACAUUCACUUUCUUUGGCAAGGGGUAAGCCAUAAUAAUAAUGAUAAUGAAAUAUAAGCUCAUGGGUAAAUAACACAGCGAUUAGAAAAUAGACUACUCCUCAUAUAUGUAAGGUGACGUCGGAUUAACUAGAGAACGGAUUCUGAGUUAUCUACAAGAUCAUAUAUAGCAUAAAAACUCUUCAUUCAUGUAUAAGGAACAUUGCUAAAGUAAAUCAGAACAACGCAAGACUUACUCCGCAAUACAAAUUCUGCCUGUCCUAUCAACGAAGGGUGCACUAUAUAAGAAUGAACGAAGCUGUCACCAUCGCGAACUACCACACGACCCGGCCAAUAGGAUACAUUUGUAGGUAAAUAACAUCUAAGCACCACGCCCACAUGUGACCUACCACUUAACUCCCACGUGUCAAGAUCUAGGCUCUUUGCAAACUCAUACAUAAACUCAUUAUCAAUCAUAACUAUAUAAAAUAUAGAACUAGAGCAAACUAAGAACAUAAUAAAUAGAGACAUAAUGCAAUUCGAAUAAAGUAGU